UAUGUAACCGCUACUUCUAAGCCAGUUAUUUUUCGUUUGCUAUCGUUGAAAGAAACUUGCAGAAACUUGCCUCGCCUCUCACAAGUUUCUCAGUUUUGAAAAAUAACAAAAAAUUAUACGCCACGGGCGGAGCAUCAAGUUAGUUAGUUAGUCGUGUAUUCACACUAACUAAUCUAUCCUCGAGUGGACAAGACUGGAAAAAAGCCUUACAAAACAACAACCAGGGCCACAUCCACACCUACCAUCUCAACACCUGACAGGCAUGAAGUGAAACAAACCAGAACAGACCAGACAGAAUUUCAAGAGCACAACCACGCAAAUAUUUGGACCGAGAAGAACUGAUAGCCACUCAUUUAUCUCGCUACUUACGCGCAUCGGACCACGGAUAUUAUAACAAUACAACAAGACGCCUCGGUCAGCUUAACGUGCCUUCACGCUGAGAGGAGGCGAUGUUAUUUAAUUAAUGACAUUAUGAGCCUGAGGCAUUACUGGGAGUUUCUGCACUCUCCACGGACCAUGGGCUAAGAUUUCCCUUGCACCAACAAACAUGUGUUUUUCAUCACAACCUUCCACCCUGCAAAACCCAGGCAACGAGGCUAGAGAGCGUAGUUAAGGCAUCAAUGGACCAAAAUUGCGGCACGGACAGCCAAUUAAAUUUGAGAUCCCAAAUUCCCUCCAUCAUUAAUCUGUAUAUCAUCAAAGAUUGGCUCUGACUUUGCCAUCCCACACUCCCAUUCCCUCACUGCCACCAUGCGAGUCUGAACCAGCCCUAUAAAAAAUCCCAUGUAAAAUAUAACGCGUUCGUGCCUUAUCAUAGGGCCAAAAGAAAAGAGAAGGGGAAAUGAAGACACGACAAGGGUGAUUUGAAAAAAAAAAAAAAAAAAAAUUCCUAGAAGAAAUAACAAUAACAACAAUGCACGUUAUCACGCUGUGAUAAGCAGGGAACGCGGGGGACCAGGGACGGGCCGCGGUGCAUAAUUUAAUCUAGCCGAACUUGGCGUCUGCUUGCCAUCUGGUCUGGUCCUUUUCUUGAGCAGGGCAAAAAGAGGAGGA
rnacentral:sRNA from 1 species